rnacentral:tRNA from 1 species
UCCUGGUUAGCUAAGUUGGUAGAGCGCUCCACUGGAAAAAGAGAGGUCUCUGGUUUGGUACCAGAACCAGGCG